GACGAACGCUGGCGGCGUGCUUAACACAUGCAAGUCGAACGGAAAGGCCCUGCUUUUGUGUGGUGCUCGAGUGGCGAACGGGUGAGUAACACGUGAGUAACCUGCCCUUGACUUUGGGAUAACUUCAGGCAACUGGGGCUAAUACCGGAUAGGAGCUCCUGCUGCAUGGUGGGGGUUGGAAAGUUUCGGCGGUGGGGGAUGGACUGGCGGCUUAUCAGCUUGUUGGUGGGGUGGUGGCCCACGAGGGCUUUGACGGGUAGCCGGCCUGGGAGGGUACCCGGCACCAUGGGGAUGGGGAUACGGCCCGGACUCCAACGGGGGGCAGAGGUGGGGAUAAUGGCACAAGGGGGGGAGGCCGAAUGCAGCACCGCGGCGGGCGGGAGAAGGGCCUUCGGGUGGUAAACGGCUUUCGCCGGGAACGAGGCGUGGUUGCGGUUAUUGGGUAAGGAAGCACCGGCAAACUCCGG
rnacentral:rRNA from 1 species